UAGGGAAUCUUCCGCAAUGGACGAAAGUCUGACGGAGCAACGCCGCGUGAGUGAAGAAGGAUUUCGGUUCGUAAAACUCUGUUGUUAGGGAAGAAAAAAUGUAUAGUAACUAUAUACAAAAGAGACGGUACCUAACCAGAAAGCCACGGCUAACUACGUGCCAGCAGCCGCGGUAAUACGUAGGUGGCAAGCGUUGUCCGGAAUUAUUGGGCGAAAAGCGCGCGCAGGUGGUUUAGAAAGUCUGAUGUGAAAGCCCACGGCUCAACCGUGGAGGGUCAUUGGAAACUAAUAAACUUGAGUGCAGGAGAGAAAAGUGGAAUUCCUAGUGUAGCGGUGAAAUGCGUAGAGAUUAGGAGGAACACCGGUGGCGAAAGCGGCUUUUUGGCCUGCAACUGACACUGAGGCGCGAAAGCGUGGGGAGCAAACAGG
rnacentral:rRNA from 1 species